rnacentral:lncRNA from 1 species
AACAGGGGUGCUGCGCAACUCCCACCUCCAUGGUGGAACUUUUCCAAGUCACAGAUUCCUUUGGUAGUCGAAGAGAGCUUUUCCAUUUUCAGCUGUAUUUUUGUCAUCUUUUUUAAGGUCUCCAGCAACUCUGUGCAGCAAUUGUCCAGUUCUUCGUUGUAUUUUGGAGACGGCUUUUCAGAUUCUGUGGUACUGUUAUCACAGGUUAUCUCCAGUUUGUUAUCUUGAAGUUGCUCACUGAUCUUCAUGUUGACUAUUUUGUUUGCAGUAGUAAAUCCACUAUCAUUCAG